rnacentral:rRNA from 1 species
AUUGAACGCUGGCGGCAGGCCUAACACAUGCAAGUCGAGCGGAGCGGCGGACGGGUGCGUAAUGCCUAGGCAUCUGCCUGGUAGUGGGGGAUAACGUCCGGCAACGGGCGAUAAUACCGCAUCCUAUCAGUUGAGCCUAGGUCGGAUUCGCUAGUUGGUGGGGUAAAGGCCUACCAAGGCGACGAUCCGUAACUGGUCUGAGAGGAUGAUCAGUCACACUGGAACGGAGACACGGUCCAGACUCCUACGGGAGUCAGCAUUGGGGAAUAUUGGACAAUGGACGAAAGCCUGAUCCAGCAAUGCCGCGUGUGUGAAGAAGGUCUUCGGAUUGUAAAGCACUUUAAGUUGGGAGGCGUUACCAACAGAAUAAGCACCGGCUAACUUCGUGCCAGCAGCCACGGUAAUAC